UCUAAUACCGGAUACGACACGGGAUCGCAUGAUCUCCGUGUGGAAAGCUCCGGCGGUGCAGGAUGAGCCCGCGGCCUAUCAGCUUGUUGGUGAGGUAAUGGCCUACCAAGGCGACGACGGG
rnacentral:rRNA from 1 species